CACACCCAGCUGCGAGACCGCGUUUGACGGUUUGUGACUGUGCGGAUUCUUGUCUCUGGUAACUGGACUCAGAAAGAUCUCUGCUGAGCUGUUUCAGGUUUCUCGCUGAUCUCCCGAAAAUGACGGCGCCUUGCUCCUUUCGGAAGGCAUCCCCCUACCGCUCCGAGAGUCCCUUUUCUUCUAGGUGCUUCGUUGGGAUUCUUUUGGUGGCGCUACUGCUCCUGCUUCCCAUAUCCUCCGAUGCCUGUGGUGAGCCACCAAGGUAUGAAUCUAUGCGGCUCCCGGGUGUCCCUAAACCCAGUUAUAGCCCUGGGGAGAGUGUACAGUAUGAAUGUCGCCCAGGUUACCAGCCCAAGCGUCCUCCUGUUCCUACCUCUGCUGUUUGUCAGAAUGAUGGUAUGUGGUCACUUCUCCAGGAGGCCUGUACAAGAAAACAGUGUCCUAACCUAGGGGAUCCCACAAAUGGCCAAGUAGACUACCCAAAUGGAAGUAUUCUGUUUGGCUCAGAGGCUCAUUAUGUUUGUAAUGUUGGUUAUUUCUUAAUUGGACCAAGUAUUCUAUACUGUGACAUUUCUGGAAGUACUGUGGACUGGAGUGAUACUCCUCCAAUGUGUGAAAAGAUUUUGUGUAAACCACCUGAAAAAAUUCUAAAUGGAAAAUACACAAAUAGCCACAAGGAUAUAUUUGAAUACAAUGAAGUAGUAACUUAUAGUUGUGAUGCUUCAAAUGGAACAGAUCAAUAUUCACUUGUUGGAGAGAGCAAGCUUGUUUGUAUUGGAAAUGACAAAUGGAGUAGUGACCCUCCUCAGUGUAAAGUGGUCAAAUGUGCCUAUCCAUACGUUGAAAAUGGAAUGAUAGUCUCAGGACAUGGAACAAAAUUUUACUACAAAGCAACGAUUGUAUAUAGAUGCAUUGAGGGUUUUAAGCUUAAUGGCAGCAACACAAUUGUCUGUGGUGCGAACAGUACUUGGGAGCCUGAGAUACCAACAUGUAUUAAAGAGUCAACUACUCCUAGUACCCAGCCUCCAAUUUCCAGUGCCUCAGUGUCAACUCCUCCCAGUUCCCAACCUCCAAUUUCCAGUGACUCAGGAUAUCCCAGUCCCAGUGAUGAACCACCACCUAAAGAUGCUGAGAGUUUAGGUGCAGGAAUCAUUGUUGCAAUUGUCACUGGUGCACUUUUUGGCAUUGUAGUAGUUGUCGGCAGCAUCUACUUCUGUUUUCACAAAGAGAAGAAAAGGUAAAUUGAAGUUGCAGUAAAACUGAUGGGGUUAAACUAAAAGUUGCUGAGAGGGAAAGAAGGUAUUGCUACAUACAGCGCUUACCAGAAUAAGGCAACCACUCCAGCAGAAAAGAUGGACGAAAGGGUUUCCACAAACCCAUGUAUCAUUCAGCCAUGAAAAUGAAGGAAAUCCUACCAUUUGAGACAAUACAGAUGGACCUUGAGGGCAUUAUGCUGGGUGAAUAAGUCAUAUAAAGAAAGACAAGUACUGUAUGAUCUCACUUAUAUGUGGAAUCCAAUAAAACAAGCUUAUAGAAAAAGAAAUCAGAUUUACCUUCAUCAGAGGUGGUGGGCUGGGGGUGGCAGUUGAGUAAAGGCAGUCAGAAAAUAUAAACUUCCAAUUAUAAGAUAAAAACGUACUGGGAUGUAAUGUACAGCGUAGUGACUACAGUUAGUAACACUGUAUUGUAUUUUGGCAAGUUGCUAAUAAGAAAGUGGAUCUUAAAACUUCUAAUCACAUGGAAGAAAAAAAUUUUUUUGUAGGUACAUGAAGUGAUGGAUGUUAACUAAAUUUAUCGUGUAAUCAUUUUGCAAUAUAUACAUGAUCAAAUCAUGCUGUACACCUUAAACUUAUGCAGCAUUAUAUGUUAGUUAUAUUUCAAUACUGAAAAAAAAUCUAUAAAAAUUAUUUGCUAGUUUCUUACACUGUCAGGAAUGGAACUGUUAAGCUAUAGGGCUAACAUUUUAAUGUGGCUGAAGUACAGUCACCAUCAUUUAAUGCUUCUUUGAAAUGUGUAUGAAUUUGUGUUUAAAUAUCUUGCUUGUUUUUCCUUAAAUAACGCUUGUAUUUAUAAGGGCAACUUAUAUCGCGACUAGUGUUAAGGUGGGGAAAUAUUUUUUCUAUAAAAUC